rnacentral:rRNA from 1 species
UACGGAGGGUGCAAGCGUUGUCCGGAUUUAUUGGGUUUAAAGGGUCCGUAGGCGGUCAGAUAAGUCAGUGGUGAAAGCCCAUCGCUCAACGGUGGAACGGCCAUUGAUACUGUCUGACUUGAAUUAUUAGGAAGUAACUAGAAUAUGUAGUGUAGCGGUGAAAUGCUUAGAGAUUACAUGGAAUACCAAUUGCGAAGGCAGGUUACUACUAAUUGAUUGACGCUGAUGGACGAAAGCGUGGGUAGCGAACAGG